rnacentral:tRNA from 2 species
CAAAAGUUAGCUCAUUUGGUAGAGCGAUCGACUCUUAAUCGAUUUGUAACAGGUACCCUCCGGGAAGACUUCGUCUACAAAUCCUGUACUUUUACCCA